GUUCUCUUGGGCAGCACAUGUACCAAAAUUGGAACGAUACAGAGAUUAGCACGGCCUCUGGGCAAGGAUGACAUGAAAAUUUGUGAAGCAUUCCAUAGUUUU